rnacentral:rRNA from 1 species
CCCGCACAAGCGGUGGAUGAUGUGGAUUAAUUCGAUGCAACGCGAAGAACCUUACUACCCUUGACAUGUCCGGAACUUGCCAGAGAUGGCUUGGUGCCCGAAAGGGAAUCGGAACACAGGUGCUGCAUGGCUGUCGUCAGCUCGUGUCGUGAGAUGUUGGGUUAAGUCCCGCAACGAGCGCAACCCUUAUCAUUAGUUGCUACGCAAGGGCACUCUAAUGAGACUGCCGGUGACAAACCGGAGGAAGGUGGGGAUGACGUCAAGUCCUCAUGGCCCUUAUGGGUAGGGCUUCACACGUCAUACAAUGGUCGGUACAGAGGGUUGCCAAGCCGCGAGGCGGAGCCAAUCCCACAAAGCCGAUCGUAGUCCGGAUUGUUCUCUGCAACUCGAGAGCAUGAAGUCGGAAUCGCUAGUAAUCGCAGGUCAGCAUACUGCGGUGAAUACGUUCCCGGGUCUU